rnacentral:rRNA from 2 species
UGAGGAAUAUUGGUCAAUGGACGAGAGUCUGAACCAGCCAUGUCGCGUGAAGGACGACUGUCCUAUGGAUUGUAAACUUCUUUUAUAUGGGAAUAAAGUGAGAAACGUGUUUCUUUUUGUAUGUACCAUAUGAAUAAGCAUCGGCUAACUCCGUGCCAGCAGCCGCGGUAAUACGGAGGAUGCGAGCGUUAUCCGGAUUUAUUGGGUUUAAAGGGUGCGUAGGCGGGAUAUUAAGUCAGUGGUGAAAGUUUGCCGCUCAACGGUAAAAUUGCCAUUGAAACUGAUAUUCUUGAGUGCGUUAAAGGUAGGCGGAAUGUGUAGUGUAGCGGUGAAAUGCUUAGAUAUUACACAGAACACCGAUUGCGAAGGCAGCUUACUGGUGCGUAACUGACGCUGAUGCACGAAAGCGUGGGUAUCAAACAGG